rnacentral:lncRNA from 12 species
CUUCCCAUACCUCUAUAUUUAACAUCCAAUGGGUACCAUAUUUUAGUAUUAUAUUUUACUAAUAUCCGUCUGUUCUGAGUGUUAAUUCACAACACACUCCAUCAAACAGAGGCUUCACAGCAUUGUCAACGAUACAUUUGAUCUUAUUCUGCAUCCCCAUUACAGUUUUGCUGCCAUCUAGCGGACUGAUCGUGGCAUUGUUUAAUAAGAAAGGCAACAUAUUCUGGCAGAACAAGACUGGGCAAGGAUUUAUUUAUUUAUUUUUUUUUUUAUAUAGCGCAUUUCACACACAGUGGUCAUUCAGAUGCUUUACAGAAAAAAUACUUAAAAAAAGGAAUCAUGAAAAGUUUAAUAAGAACUACAAAAAACAAGAAUACAAAAGUAAUAAGUAAAUAAUAAUAAUAAAAUAAAACAAAUUAAUAGACCCUUUUUGUGCCAAGGAGACAGCAAAACUGGAGGUAACCAAUUCAAACCAGCACAGAUUCAACUACAAAAGGAGCUUAAAAUAUCAUCUUAUUGUGAUCGACAUAAUACUAUCCAGAAUCGACAUAAUACAGGCUCCAAUUUGACAUUUAACGCAUGCCUGCUGCCAAUGCCAAAAAAAAAAAAACAAACAAAAAAAAAAAAAAAACCAGAUGACAGCUUUGGUUAAAUGCGAUAAAACUAGUGGACUGGACAGAAACGAUCAUCAAAAUGCUUGCGUUUGCAGCGCACACUUCUUGUCAGAAAAGGAUAAAAAAAAAAAAGUAUUUUUUGUUAUGGAUUAUGGUUCGAUGAUGACGUAUCCUCUCCCGUGGGCUUCUGGGAUUGAAAAGUGUCCAGAACCUGGACUGAAGCAGUAGGACAUCCGGGGAUCGUCUCCUCUUAAUGAAUACUGAUGUUUCCGACAUACUUCUUUCUUCACGUACGCUUUUCUCAUUAAAUUAAAUGUAAAUGUUAGCGCCCACAUGAAGCUGUCAGAAAGCAUAUGAGGAUUUCCCAGAAGCAAGAAUAAAAUAACAUUUUGUGUACCCACCCUAACAAAGAUGAAAUGUGGUACUUUAUUCACUAAAAUAAGUUUAUUACCAUAUCCAAAACCUCGCUCACUCUGCUGUUAUUUAACAGAUUAAAUGCACUAGAAUUUUAUUUAAUAGUACAUGGAGACACGUUUUAAUUAAAAUAUUCAUAUUAAUAAAGGAUUAAUUGACUUUUAAUGCACCUUAUUUCGAAAUGUACAGGAAUAUGUGCUUUCAUAUGUCCUUUAGUUAUAAUUAUUUUAUUUAUUCAUUAUAUUAUUUAUUAUUAAUGUCUCAUUUCAGUUUGGCUCUAGUUUUGUAUUCAUUCCAGUUUAUAUGAAAAGGUUCAUGUAGUGUGGAUCAAAAUUCAUAUACAAAGUAAAUCUUUGUCACUGAACACGUUUGGAACAGUUGUGGGAAGCGUGGUGCUGGUGACGCUGAAGUCGAGCGACCGUGACCGAAAAUGACAAUUUCAGGUUGCCACUUCGUGUGUUUUAGUGUAAUCUCUCGCUCGUCCUCUGGAGACGCUGCUGUGACGCACGAGAGCUCGUUAUCACAUGUGAGCAAACACUGAGUGAUGUCAUAGUGUUUCUGUAACUUUAUUAAUCUAAAAAAAAGCAUUUUAGGGCAAAUUAAAUAACAUGUUCUUUGGCUGUCAUACACUAGUACACUAGUGCCAGUCCGUGAUAUUGAGUUGUGCUUACUUCGUGUGAUUUAUGUUGUAAAUAAUGAUUUUGCUACAUUAAAGCGUAAAUCUAUUCAAAUAUUCUGUACUCUCACUACAGUUACUCUAGUAAAUAAACCACACCAGAAUCCCUGCAGUUCUUCACACACACUCAGAUAUACACUCAAUCAAAUGGCAAAAUGGAUUUAUAAUAACUUAUCAUUUUUAAUACUUUUAGAGGAACAAAGGAUCUUACAACAAACUGAGCCUGUUUCAAAACAAGUGUAAUUAUGCAAAAAUAUUUCCAUAAUUAAUCUGAACAAAUGACAAAAGACAAUUUACAGAGUAAAUCUUCACAUGUAUCUCUUUACAUAAUCAUACAAAACCCAUAAUUCCUCAAUCAGCAGAAAAUUACAUCAAUUAACAUCAUUUUAGCUGUGAAAUAAAAACCCCAGCUCAUAACAUGAUGACGAACUGUGAUGUUUAACAACUUCAAAACCGUCGAGAGAAAUAAACCUCACUGAAAGACCUGCAGUGUGUGUGUGUGUGUGUGUGUCUGUGUGCGACAGCACUGCUUUCAGUGAGCGUGUGUGUGUGUGUGUGUGCGUGCGUGUGUGUGCGACAGCACUGCUUUCAGUGAGCGUGAGUGUGUGUUCGGUCACCUGUAGUGGUGAUCACACUGUCCUGUGGUGAG